rnacentral:lncRNA from 1 species
UUAACUCAUUACGAAUAUCAACAUAAAAUUUUUUGAAAAAAAAAAUUUAAGUGCUUCGGUUUGCAUGAUCCAUAGGCUAAUAAUACGCACGAAAAUCGAGGAAUUUGAGUAAUUCCUAAAAAUGGCCUGUAAAUAUGGAUAUAAACAUUAAAAUAGUAUGAGUAUACAGGGUAGUUCCCUGACUCUAUUGUCCAGACACUAUAUGAGAUUGCUAGAAAUUAACAUGAGUACUACUUUACACCCUUUUUUCGGGUUGGGCUUCUUAUACCUAAGCCCGGCCCAGCUUCGGGAAUAGUCCAACGAAUGAGCGGUUGUCACGAAGAACUCAAAGGUUGCUCAAGACCCCUUUUUAACUUUGACUGCUUGUACUAAUUCACUAUUCACCCACCUGUCUAACCUGCUUUCUGCUUAAAUUUUUUUCUGUGGCAAGCGCCACCCUUCUUGUCUACCUAGCAUCACAUCUUGCUAACAUAUAUUACAUAUUAACUUUGCCAUUUAGCAAUGGUUGAUGAAUAUCCAUCAUCACCCCAUUUUACUACCCCAACGACAGAAAAUUAGUAUAGAUUUGUAGAUAGGAAUUAGUUUGUCCUCAAAUUCGAAAAUUGAACUUCUUUUCAAUUUGUAGAUAGUGUUCCAUUUUGUAGAGUCCUUAUUUUAGCAGCCGUUUAGUCUAGAUAACUGAUUUCAUCUUGUAGCAUCCCAUAACUAGAUCCAUAUCAGGGGACCUUAACACCUUAGAUUCGAAAUUCAGAGGAAACUAAAAACUUCAUCAUAUUUAGAAAAAACACACCAUAACAAAAGCUAGUUGUAUAACAAGCAUCUUGUUUUAUAUGAAAUGAACUAAAACACAGGUGUAAAAAGUCAGAAACUGGAUGUGCAUAAAUCAAAAGAGAGGGAUGCGAUUGGCGGGGACUCACCAUUUUCUUGAAUGUAAAUUGGUAGGUUUCUAUAGGCUUCUUUUAUAUACAAAGUAUAUAAUCUGACCUGAUCUGCUGCUUAUGCCUCAACUGAAGAAACCCAAAACAAAGAAGAAGAUAAAAUUUGAAAGCUCAUUCAUAUCACAUAAUCCAUCAUAAGCAGAUAAUGAACUAGAUUAUGCAACUUACGGAGGACAUGACUUUUCAGUAUGUUAUUAUUACUCUCCUACUAUAUUAUCACUUGUCGUUUUCUUUGCUUUAGUUAUCGUAUUAUUUUUUCGUUCCUACUGUCAACUUUUUAAUUGUUUUCAAAUGACUUCUUUUGCUACGUACAGUAUUUGAUUUACACACUUGUAUCUUUUUUAUAUGCUUUUACUCAGGGCCGUCUUAACAUUUGGGGCCCCCAUUUUUAUAUAACAAUUACGAAUGUAUAUUAUUUUUGUAAAAAAAGUUGUAUAUAAUAAGAA